CUUAGCUGCACUCGUGACCUGAGCAACCUCACACCCUGGUUCUUUGGGAAGAUGGUUCCCGGCCAGCCUGAAGCAGGUGUCAGGGCCCCAGCCCCCUGCCCUGCUGCUUCUCUCCUCGCUGCCUGCCUGAAACUUGGAGUCCUGCUUUUCUUUCCCGACUGCUGGAAUUCUCCAGUUCUCCAGAUCUUAACUUCCUCUUCUCCCGCGUACCCCUUCAGCUUCUCCCUCCUGCUGUGGCGGGGUGACAGCAGCCACCUGCUGUUGUUACAUCCGCCUGAAAGAGAAGCUGGUCUCCUCCAGGCCGCCUCCAGAGACAGGGAGCCUUUGCAUCCAUCGGACAGUCACUGUGUGCUCCCACCUUUGUGACGAGUGGAACGAGGUGGACUCUCCUCUGGCUGUGACAUUCUGGCCUUUAAAAGGCAGAGAGGUUUCAAAGCAGGUUUGGAAUGUGCAAGCAACUGUUUGCAAGGUACUCGCAAGAUGGCAUUGGCAGCCACCCCCAUGCGCCGACCCAGGCUGCCACGGUUGAACCAGAGAACAGCCUCCCCGCCAAGCCCUUGUCAACAGGCAUGAUAUUUUGUGUUUGGGGAGAAGACAUGGCUGUCAGCAAGCACCCACCCAGAGCCAGGCCUUCCCUCACCUGCAGCCAAGCCCCUUGCUGGGGAGUGACGCAGAGUCUGGGUGGAGUGAAGGGCUGCUGGGGGCACACCGGCUGCACAGUCCCCAGGCCCGAGCUGGAAUCCCAGACUGACCUCUCUCUAGCUGUGUGGCCUUAGGCCAGUCACUGGGACCCCCGGAACCUCAGGGUUGCACUUGAAGCCAGACCAGUCACCCCUUUCUGGCCAACUGUAAGGAGCAUGAAAUAAAAGUGAUGACAGCAGUCCUGGCACUGAGUCUGGCUGGCUGAC